AAUUUGACAAAUGCAACAGAAUAUCCAUAUGCGGGUUAAUGACCUAAAUUGAAUGAAGCUAAAAGGAAAUGGAAUGUCAUGGAAAGAUGUCCAGAUGCAGAAAUAUGUUACAGAAUGCAAACAUUUUAACUUGAGCGCAGAGAAUGUCCUUCCAACCUUUUAAGCUGCACCACCCCAGCAACCCCGACUUAACCCAAGCUUAAUCUUGGGACAACUUACAAUGACUAUCUGACCUACCCGGUAUGUCUUUGGACUGUGGGAGGAAACCAGAGCACCCGGUGGAAACCCAUGUAUUCUAUGUGGAGGAUGUACAGAGACUCCUUCGAGACAACGCUGGAAUGGAGCUCCAAGUUGUAACAGUGCCAUGCUAGCCGCUACACUACCAUUGUGCCAAGGGUCAGAAUGACAGGGGUUCCGAUGUAGCCACAACUGACAUUUAGAUACAUACGUGCGUCAGGCCCUGAAAUAUUGCUAUCUACUUCACAAGUUAAAAAAUAGAUUUACAGCAUCUCCAGUAUAUUUCUCCCAGAAUCCAAUGUUCUACCUUCACUAGGUACAAACAUCCAUCAUGAUAUUUAGAUCACAAGCAAGACAAAACCUGCAGAUGCUGGAAAUCCGAGCAACACACACAGAACGCUGGAGAAACUCAGCAGGACAGGCAGCAUCUAUGGAAAAGAGUACAGUUGACGUUUUCGGCCAACUCCUUUUGGCAGCACUGGAGUAAAA